CAGUAGCCGCGGUAAUACGAAGGGUGUAAGCGUUAAUCGGAAUUACUGGGCGUAAAGCGUGCGUAGGCGGUUUGUUAAGUCUGUUGUGAAAUCCCCGGGCUCAACCUGGGAAUGGCAAUGGAUACUGGCAAGCUAGAGUGUGUCAGAGGAUGGUGGAAUUCCCGGUGUGGCGGUGAAAUGCGUAGAGAUCGGGAGGAACAUCAGUGACGAAGGCGGCCAUCUGGGACAACACUGACGCUGAGGCACGAAAGCGUGGGGAGCAAACAGGAUUAGAUACCCCUGUAGUCCCUGUCUCUUAUAC
rnacentral:rRNA from 1 species